rnacentral:rRNA from 1 species
CUAACACAUGCAAGUCGAGGGAGAAGCCUUCGGGCUGAAACCGGCGCACGGGUGCGUAACGCGUAUACAAUCUGCCUUUCACAUAGGGAUAGCCCGAAGAAAUUUGGAUUAAUACCUAAUGGUAUAUAGGAGCGGCAUCGUUUUUAUAUUAAAGCUACGGUGGUGAAAGAUGAGUAUGCGUUCUAUUAGCUAGUUGGAGAGGUAACGGCUCCCCAAGGCGACGAUAGAUAGGGGUUCUGAGAGGGAUGUCCCCCACACUGGUACUGAGAUACGGACCAGACUCCUACGGGAGGCAGCAGUGAGGAGUAUUGGACAAUGGUCGGAAGACUGAUCUAGCCAUGCCGCGUGCAGGAUGAAGGUCCUAUGGAUUGUAAACUGCUUUUGUAAGGGAAGAAUAAGGGGUACGUGUACUUUGAUGACGGUACCUUACGAAUAAGCAUCGGCUAACUCCGUGCCAGCAGCCGCGGUAAUACGGAGGAUGCGAGCGUUAUCCGGAAUCAUUGGGUUUAAAGGGUCCGUAGGCGGGCUAAUAAGUCAGAGGUGAAAGCGUUCAGCUCAACUGAGCAACUGCCUUUGAAACUGUUAGUCUUGAAUGAUUGUGAAGUAGUUGGAAUGUGUAGUGUAGCGGUGAAAUGCUUAGAUAUUACACAGAACACCGAUAGCGAAGGCAUAUUACUAACAAUUUAUUGACGCUGAUGGACGAAAGCGUGGGGAGCGAACAGGAUUAGAUACCCUGGUAGUCCACGCUGUAAACGAUGGAUACUAGCUGUUUGGAGCAAUCUGAGUGGCUAAGCGAAAGUGAUAAGUAUCCCACCUGGGAGUACGCA